CGCAGCUGUGAGGCUGGGCUGAGGGAGUGAGGGAGCGUUGGGUGACGCAGGUAGAGGCAGCAAGGUUUCAGACCAGACACUGAUCCCAAAUGAAACGUUCUCCUUUGUCCCAUUCUGACUGGACCUUUUUUUUUUUUCUUUCUCUUUUGAGGGUGUCACCCAGGAAAUACACUGCUGUGUUCUUUUAAAAUAAGUGAUGCUAACAUCUCAUUUUUGGGUGGUGAUUGACAGUGUUUAAGGCAGAUGUGUUUCCACGGUUGAAAUUUAUCCUUCAACCAGCUGUUUGAGGUAAGUACGGUAUGGUCUUUAUUUGAGAGAUGGGGAAACUGAGGCCCCGAGAGCAAUGUCCUAGGCCAGUGUUGUAUCAGUGAGUAAUUAGUAUUACUCUGAGACCAAUAAGGACUUCUUCCCACAUCAUGCUGUGGUGUUCGUCUAUCCUCCUUUCUCAAAGAUCCUGCUCUCCUUGACAAAAUUAGUUAAUUAAUCCGAUCCUUUAUGCAUAUAGAGUGUCUGCUACAUGCCAUGUAUUAGUAAAGCAUCAAAUACAACAUGCAACCACCCUGUCCUCGUGGUACUGAAAUCCUGAGAGGUGAUUAGUACAUGCAUGUGACAUUUCAGGUGCAGGUAAGAACACUGGCAAAAAGUUCAGCAGGGUUGGAGGUGGGGGAGAGCCCCUGUUUUAUGCAGGGUGAGCCGAGAAAGCCUGCCAAGAAGUCACCGUGGGAUCAGAGCCCGAGAGAAGCGAGGAAGCCCCUGGGGUGGUUCUGGGGCACAUGCUGGACGACAGCACAGACCACAGUACGUGCCCCUCAGCUGUCCAAGGUAGGUGUCAUUACCCCCGGGAGAGAUAAAAACCCUCAGAGCUGCUUGCUCAAGUCCCACAGCUAUCAGGAGGGGAAAGAGGGCGUGGACCAAGGUCUGUCUUCAAAGCUCUGCUCCUAACCACCGUCAGUUUCAGGCAGGAAAUCUUAUCAGGUGGGGAGAUAUUUGGGGCAGGUCCUCUGCACUCAGAUUCCUCGGAAAACACUUGGUGUUUGCCAAUGCCACUGACGUGAUGUCACCAAGGCACAUACUGGCAAAAUAAAAACUGGCCUGCUUUUAUUAUUUGACUUAGUUUUUAUUUCAUGUUUAUAUUUCCUAGCGGGCAACCGACCAGAGCCCAGCGAUUACAGUCAACGUCACGCACAUUAUAGCGAGAGAGACUGGGCUAGGGAUAAUCGUUCUUUAAAUGUCACCGUAUGCCAGGCACUGUUAAGUGCUUUAUAUCUAGUAUCUCACUUAAUUUUCACAAACAGCCUGUGAAACAGAUACUAGCUUUAUCUUCAUUUGAGAGAUGAUGAGCUUGAGUUGAGGGUCCGGUAAGUCUUACAUUACUGAGACGUGUCUGAUUUACAUUCAACUCACCUCUAACACCAUAAACCGGGCUCUCGAGCCCUAAGGAAUGGGUACAGCAAAUCUUGAGUGUCAAGUGCUGACGGAAAGGAGGCCUAAGGGGGGAAAGGCAGGGAGACUGUGCGUCUGCUUUUUUGGGGGUCACAUAUUUAUCCAAUACAUCCAAAUGGAGUAAAUUGGGAUUGGUUGGGAGUGAAACCUUUUUUCUCCAGAACGGCACUCUAGAAUUAUAAAGAGCAAUUCAUCAAUCCAGGAAGAAUGCAGGGCAAACCCCUGUCACACUUGACAUUUGAUUUUUAAAUGUCCACCUUUUGGGGGGGAGGGGUAUUAAAAUACGGGCUUAUUGGUAACCCAUGAGAAUAUCAAGAACAAGGGUGAAGACGAUGAAAACAUCCCUAAUCUUCCUACUCAGAGACAACCGCCAUCGCCAUUCUGAUAGCUCAGUGUUCUAGCUUCUGUGCAAGCCUCCUUAAAACAUGUACUUUAGUCGAAACAGUUCUUUACAUAGAAUGGUGCAAGAUCACCUCUUUCUUGUGAAUUGAGCUGUACCCCCGUCCCCAGCUGCACACGCACAGAAACAGCUCUGGCUCAGGCUGCAGUGGCCUCCUUUUCCCCUUUGCUUAUCACCUUGAGUUCCACAGGAGUGUGUGGUAAAGCCAGGCCCCAACUGGGCCCUGCUGUCUCUGGAAGGAUUUCAGCUGACCCUGAGCUCUGGCACAGCCAAAGGGCAUCCGCCUCUGCUACUGAGCCAUACAUUUCCCCUGACAGGAGCUCCUCUUAGACCUCCCUAGACAGCAGACAUCGCGAGCAGACAGCAAGAUUCACGGCUGUCUGGCUUCUCCCUGUCCUCCCCCAGAUGGGCUGAAGCCAGAUGACAGAGCAUGAGACCCAAGGAGGAACAGCCUGGGGGUCGACGGCACGCCAAGCAGAAGUGGACAAUAUCUGGUCCCAGCUCACGCCUUGGCUUAAUCGCAACCACAUGAGCAAACUCAGGGCUGCACAGCACAGUUGUAAUUGGAAUAGAGUGUCCUCUGGGAGACUGUUGGGGAUGAAGCUGUUCACUGCAUGAGACGACGCACUGCUGCAGAUAUAAUCCAUUUACCGACGAUCAUAACGGUGGCUAACGUUUACUGCGUGCCUAUCGUGCCCCCGGCACAGCGUUCGAUACCCUGGGAGGAUUACCUCAUUAGUUCUCAUAACACAUUGCACAGAGUUUCCACCUUGCCUGCAUCUUGGAAUGACCUGGGAAAGUUUUACUACUGCAGGUACCUGGUCCCAGAGCUACUAAUUUAACUCAUCUGAGAUGUGGUCCACUCAUAAGCUCUUUCCAUUGGGAGCCGGAUUCUCUUUUCCUGCCCUUUGAAUCUGAGGUGGCCAUGCAGCCUGCCUUGAUCGAUAGAAUCCUGCAGAAGAAAUGUUGUGCCAGUUCUGAGCCUGAGCCUUGCAGGCUCCUGCUUGCUAUCCUGGAACCCCACCAUCGCCAUGUGAAUGACCCUGGUCUGCCCUCCUGGAGGAUCAUAGCUGAGGCCAUCCCAGACCAACCAACCCGGCCCACAAACUCACGGGGAAGCCUGGCUGAGAUCAGAGCCCGGGCCAGACCCACAGGACCUUCCAGUUGAUCUACAGACUUGUGGGCAAUGAUAAAUGGUGGUUAUUUUAAGCCACUAACUUUGGGUUGAUUUGUUAUGCAACAGUAGGUAGCUGAUACACUUCAAUAUAGUUUCCUAUUUCUCGUUGAGCCUAAAUCGGGUUCUCCCUUUAUCCACUCUCAUAGCACCUUAUACUUGUCAACUGUAUAAUGGAUGACAAUGCUUAUCAGAACUAAAAAUUGUGUAAAUAAUACUUUUUUCUCUCUCUGAUUAGAGUUUAAGCCCCAUGAGAUCAGAGACCACAUUUGAUUUGCUCCCUGAAAUAGUCCUACCAUCUGGCAUUAUUUUAUACACGGUAUAUGCUACACUUGAUCUUAACCAAGAGGCCGAGAAGCGAUACACAUGGUGAAUGCUAAAUAAAUACUUGUCAGAAGACAAACGCAAGGAUGAAUUCAUAUGCUCACUAAACAUGUCCUAAGUACUUUCUCCAUUUUGGGUACCAUGCAAGAUGUUAAAGAUAUCAGAAUGAAUAAGGCAUAGUCUUUGUUCUUAAGGAAAUUCACGGUUUAAAAGCUGGGACAUGGACAUGUAAAUAAAAAUUGUAGGCCACGUUAAUGAGUGUAAUUGAGGGUGUUUAGCAUGUUGAUAAGAGCAGGAUAGAUCAGUGGGUUGAAUAAAUCUGGAGAAAAGAAGUUCCUGGAAAAUGGUUUAUGGAAUAAAUAUUUGAAAUGAUGAUUCUACA